UUAAGCGACUAAGCGUACACGGUGGAUGCCCUGGCAGUCAGAGGCGAUGAAGGACGUGCUAAUCUGCGAUAAGCGCCGGUAAGGUGAUAUGAACCGUUAUAACCGGCGAUUUCCGAAUGGGGAAACCCAGUGUGACUCGUCACACUAUCAUUAACUGAAUCCAUAGGUUAAUGAGGCGAACCGGGGGAACUGAAACAUCUAAGUACCCCGAGGAAAAGAAAUCAACCGAGAUUCCCCCAGUAGCGGCGAGCGAACGGGGAGGAGCCCAGAGCCUGAAUCAGCAUGUGUGUUAGUGGAAGCGUCUGGAAAGGCGCGCGAUACAGGGUGACAGCCCCGUACACAAAAGCGCAUGUGCUGUGAGCUCGAUGAGUAGGGCGGGACACGUGGUAUCCUGUCUGAAUAUGGGGGGACCAUCCUCCAAGGCUAAAUACUCCUGACUGACCGAUAGUGAACCAGUACCGUGAGGGAAAGGCGAAAAGAACCCCGGCGAGGGGAGUGAAAAAGAACCUGAAACCGUGUACGUACAAGCAGUGGGAGCCCCACCACUAAGCCAGUGGUGAACUCCACAUACGCAUCCUUUGCUGAGGAUACGGUUAACGGAGCGAAAGCGACGUUCAACCUCAAAAGAAGCAGAGGGGGCUUAGUGGUGGGGUGACUGCGUACCUUUUGUAUAAUGGGUCAGCGACUUAUAUUCUGUAGCAAGGUUAACCGAAUAGGGGAGCCGGAGGGAAACCGAGUCUUAACCGGGCGUUAAGUUGCAGGGUAUAGACCCGAAACCCGGUGAUCUAGCCAUGGGCAGGUUGAAGGUUGGGUAACACUAACUGGAGGACCGAACCGACUAAUGUUGAAAAAUUAGCGGAUGACCUGUGGCUGGGGGUGAAAGGCCAAUCAAACCGGGAGAUAGCUGGUUCUCCCCGAAAGCUAUUUAGGUAGCGCCUCGUGAAUUCAUCUCCGGGGGUAGAGCACUGUUUCGGCUAGGGGGCCAUCCCGGCUUACCAACCCGAUGCAAACUGCGAAUACCGGAGAAUGUUAUCACGGGAGACACACGGCGGGUGCUAACGUCCGUCGUGAAGAGGGAAACAACCCAGACCGCCAGCUAAGGUCCCAAAGUCAUGGUUAAGUGGGAAACGAUGUGGGAAGGCCCAGACAGCCAGGAUGUUGGCUUAGAAGCAGCCAUCAUUUAAAGAAAGCGUAAUAGCUCACUGGUCGAGUCGGCCUGCGCGGAAGAUGUAACGGGGCUAAACCAUGCACCGAAGCUGCGGCAGCGACGCUGAUGCGUUGUUGGGUAGGGGAGCGUUCUGUAAGCCUGCGAAGGUGGCCUGUGAGGGUUGCUGGAGGUAUCAGAAGUGCGAAUGCUGACAUAAGUAACGAUAAAGCGGGUGAAAAGCCCGCUCGCCGGAAGACCAAGGGUUCCUGUCCAACGUUAAUCGGGGCAGGGUGAGUCGACCCCUAAGGCGAGGCCGAAAGGCGUAGUCGAUGGGAAACGGGUUAAUAUUCCCGUACUUGGUGUUACUGCGAAGGGGGGACGGAGAAGGCUAUGUUGGCCGGGCGACGGUUGUCCCGGUUUAAGCGUGUAGGUGUGUGUUCCAGGUAAAUCCGGUUCACUUUAACACUGAGGCGUGAUGACGAGGCACUACGGUGCUGAAGCAACAAAUGCCCUGCUUCCAGGAAAAGCCUCUAAGCAUCAGGUAACAUCAAAUCGUACCCCAAACCGACACAGGUGGUCAGGUAGAGAAUACCAAGGCGCUUGAGAGAACUCGGGUGAAGGAACUAGGCAAAAUGGUGCCGUAACUUCGGGAGAAGGCACGCUGACACGUAGGUGAAGUGAUUUACUCAUGGAGCUGAAGUCAGUCGAAGAUACCAGCUGGCUGCAACUGUUUAUUAAAAACACAGCACUGUGCAAACACGAAAGUGGACGUAUACGGUGUGACGCCUGCCCGGUGCCGGAAGGUUAAUUGAUGGGGUCAGCGCAAGCGAAGCUCCUGAUCGAAGCCCCGGUAAACGGCGGCCGUAACUAUAACGGUCCUAAGGUAGCGAAAUUCCUUGUCGGGUAAGUUCCGACCUGCACGAAUGGCGUAAUGAUGGCCAGGCUGUCUCCACCCGAGACUCAGUGAAAUUGAACUCGCUGUGAAGAUGCAGUGUACCCGCGGCAAGACGGAAAGACCCCGUGAACCUUUACUAUAGCUUGACACUGAACAUUGAGCCUUGAUGUGUAGGAUAGGUGGGAGGCUUUGAAGUGUGGACGCCAGUCUGCAUGGAGCCGGCCUUGAAAUACCACCCUUUAAUGUUUGAUGUUCUAACGUGGACCCGUGAUCCGGGUUGCGGACAGUGUCUGGUGGGUAGUUUGACUGGGGCGGUCUCCUCCUAAAGAGUAACGGAGGAGCACGAAGGUUGGCUAAUCCUGGUCGGACAUCAGGAGGUUAGUGCAAUGGCAUAAGCCAGCUUGACUGCGAGCGUGACGGCGCGAGCAGGUGCGAAAGCAGGUCAUAGUGAUCCGGUGGUUCUGAAUGGAAGGGCCAUCGCUCAACGGAUAAAAGGUACUCCGGGGAUAACAGGCUGAUACCGCCCAAGAGUUCAUAUCGACGGCGGUGUUUGGCACCUCGAUGUCGGCUCAUCACAUCCUGGGGCUGAAGUAGGUCCCAAGGGUAUGGCUGUUCGCCAUUUAAAGUGGUACGCGAGCUGGGUUUAGAACGUCGUGAGACAGUUCGGUCCCUAUCUGCCGUGGGCGCUGGAGAACUGAGGGGGGCUGCUCCUAGUACGAGAGGACCGGAGUGGACGCAUCACUGGUGUUCGGGUUGUCAUGCCAAUGGCACUGCCCGGUAGCUAAAUGCGGAAGAGAUAAGUGCUGAAAGCAUCUAAGCACGAAACUUGCCCCGAGAUGAGUUCUCCCUGAGACUUAGAGUCUCCUGAAGGAACGUUGAAGACGACGACGUUGAUAGGCCGGGUGUGUAAGCGCAGCGAUGCGUUGAGCUAACCGGUACUAAUGAACCGUGAGGCUUAACCUU
rnacentral:rRNA from 2 species